GAGGCGAGUCUGAGGGCAGUCAUGCUGAAGGGUUGUGUGUGGACACCUGAAGACCAGAAAAAAACGAAAGGGGCCCCAGGGUCAGGUGCGCACAGCUGCUGUUUUGAAGCAGGUGGAGGAAGGAUUGAAAAGAACUGCAGGUAGGGGAGGGGAGCGGGGCCUCACGGGGCACAGUCGGAAGCUGGGGCCGCAUUCUGAGGCAUCCGGGACUGAUUAAACAGAUGUCCACCAGCGAGGGUCUCAGAACCUCCAGGAGCUUCUCCAGGCUUGGGAUUGGAACAGCCCCCUUGCCGGGGUGCCUACUUGGCCAAGAAGGGCAGAAGGCGAGAGGGAGAGAAACCCAAGCAGGCCCCAUGCCCGGCGGGGAGCCAGACAUGGGGCUCGAUCUCACAACCCUGUGAUCACCACCUGAGUCGAAACCAAGAGUCGGACGCCUCACUGACUGAGCCACCGGGUGCCCCGCUUUCCUUUAUAAUUUUCUUCUAGCAACUGAGGUACGAUUAUCACAGAGAAGGGACCUAGCAAGUCUUUCGAGAUCACUAAUAAGCAGAUGCAUCUACCCGUGUGUUCAUUGGCCCAAAUUCAUGCACCCACCGCCGGCUGGGUGGAGUGAAAUAAGCAGACUUUCCACACAGCUCAGGGUACAAAAGCCAGGUAGUGAGUUCUCUAGACUGUAGAGCGCUGUGGAAGUUUCCUACAGACUCUGAGGCAGAGUGACGCUGUGAGGACUGAUGCCCUGACCAGAUCCCAUGGCUCCUUCUGCUGAUUCUUCAGGGGGGAAACUCAGAAGGGCCACAAGAAGUAUGAUUACACACACACACACACACACACACACACAGGCUCACUCCCAAGAGCAGGAGAGCCCAAAUAGGCCCAAAUGGAUAUGGAAGGCCUCUGAGCCCAAGUUUUCCUGGUAAACAUUGUCCUAAGCACUUUACCUGCUUCUCUGGAUGGAAGCUUAGAACCACUGAGAAAAUACAAGUCAGUGAUCAGCAGCUUUGCUUUUUUUAAUCUCAUGGUAUUAUGUUUAUCAGAAUUUUCACCCCAGAGAGCUGUAAGAUCUUUAUCUAUAUUUUAAAAACUCUUUAGGGAUGCCUGGGUGGCUCAGUCAGUUAAGUGCCUGCCUUGUGCUCAGGUCACGAUCCCCCGUUCUUGGGAUCGAGCUCUCCCCCCCAAUCGGGCUCCCUGCUCAGUGGGGAGCCUGCUUCUCCCUCUCCCUCUG